rnacentral:rRNA from 1 species
GACGAACGCUGGCGGCGUGCUUAACACAUGCAAGUCGAGCGGUAAGGCCCUUUCGGGGGUACACGAGCGGCGAACGGGUGAGUAACACGUGGGUGACCUGCCCUCAGCUCUGGGAUAAGCCUGGGAAACCGGGUCUAAUACUGGAUAUGACUCCAUGACGCAUGUUGUGGGGUGGAAAGCCUUGUGCGGCUGAGGAUGGGCCCGCGGCCUAUCAGCUUGUUGGUGGGGUGAUGGCCUACCAAGGCGACGACGGGUAGCCGGCCUGAGAGGGCGACCGGCCACACUGGGACUGAGACACGGCCCAGACUCCGUACGGGAGGCAGCAGGUGGGGAAUCUUGCGCAAUGGGACGAAAGCCUGACGCAGCGACGCCGCGUGAGGGAUGACGG